rnacentral:rRNA from 1 species
UCUACGGGUGGCAGCAGUGAGGAAUAUUGGUCAAUGGGCGUAAGCCUGAACCAGCCAAGUCGCGUGAGGGAUGAAGGUUCUAUGGAUCGUAAACCUCUUUUAUAAGGGAAUAAAGUGUGGGACGUGUCCUAUUUUGUAUGUACCUUAUGAAUAAGGAUCGGCUAACUCCGGUCCAGCAGCCGCGGGAAUACGGAGGAUCCGAGCGUUAUCCGGAUUUAUUGGGUUUAAAGGGUGCGGAGGCGGCCUUUUAAGUCAGCGGUGAAAGUCUGUGGCUAAGCCAUAGCAUUGCCGUUGAAACUGGGGGGCUUGAGUAUGUUUGAGGCAGGCGGAAUGCGUGGUGUAGCGGUGAAAUGCUUAGAUAUCACGCAGAACCCCGAUUGCGAAGGCAGCCUGCCAAGCCAUGACUGACGCUGAUGCACGAAAGCGUGGGGAUCAAACAGGAUUAGAUACCCGAGUAGUC